rnacentral:rRNA from 1 species
AUUGAACGCUGGCGGCAUGCCUUACACAUGCAAGUCGAACGGUAACGCGGGGGCGAACCCUACGGCGACGAGUGGCGAACGGGUGAGUAAUACAUCGGAACGUGUCCUGUUGUGGGGGAGUAACCCACUCGAAAGGUGAGCUAAUACCGCAUGAUCUGGAGACAGCAAAGACAGGGGACCGGAAACGGCCUUGCGCGAUUGGAGCGGCCGAUGUCCGAUUAGCUAGUUGGCGGGGUAAAGGCCCACCAAGG